GUCGAGCGGUAGCACAGGGGAGCUUGCUCCCUGGGUGACGAGCGGCGGACGGCUGAUGUAAUGUCUGGGAAACUGCCUGAUGGAGGGGGAUAACUACUGGUAACGGUAGCUAAUACCGCAUAAUGUCGCAAGACCAAAGAGGGGGACCUUCGGGCCUCUUGCCAUCAGAUGUGCCCAGAUGGGAUUAGCUAGUAGGUGGGGUAAUGGCUCACCUAGGCGACACGAUCCCUAGCUGGUCUGAGAGGAUGACCAGCCACACUGGAACUGAGACACGGUCCAGACUCCUACGGGAGGCAGCAGUGGGGAAUAUUGCACAAUGGGCGCAAGCCUGAUGCAGCCAUGCCGCGUGUAUGAAGAAGGCCUUCGGGUUGUAAAGUACUUUCAGCGAGGAGGAAGGCGUUAAGGUUAAUAACCUUGGCGAUUGACGUUACUCGCAGAAGAAGCACCGGCUAACUCCGUGCCAGCAGCCCGCGGUAAUACGGAGGGUGCAAGCGUUAAUCGGAAUUACUGGGCGUAAAGCGCACGCAGGCGGUCUGUCAAGUCGGAUGUGAAAUCCCCGGGCUCAACCUGGGAACUGCAUCCGAAACUGGCAGGCUAGAGUCUUGUAGAGGGGGGUAGAAUUCCAGGUGUAGCGGUGAAAUGCGUAGAGAUCUGGAGGAAUACCGGUGGCGAAGGCGGCCCCCUGGACAAAGACUGACGCUCAGGUGCGAAAGCGUGGGGAGCAAACAGGAUUAGAUACCCUGGUAGUCCACGCUGUAAACGAUGUCGACUUGGAGGUUGUUCCCUUGAGGAGUGGCUUCCGGAGCUAACGCGUUAAGUCGACCGCCUGGGGAGUACCGUCGCCAGGUUAAAA
rnacentral:rRNA from 1 species